GGAUGACGGCGUGCCUUUUGCAUAAUGAGCCUGCGAGUUAUGGUGUGCAGCGAGGUUAAGAAUAAUCUUCGAAGCCGUAGCGAAAGCGAGUCUUAACUGGGCGAUGAGUUGCAUGCUAUAGACCCGAAGCUGAGUGAUCUAUCCAUGGUCAGGCUGAAGCCCCGGUAAAACGGGGUGGAGGGCCGAACCAGUUGAUGUUGAAAAAUCUUUGGAUGAACUGUGGAUAGGGGUGAAAGGCCAAUCAAACUCAGCGAUAGCUGGUUCUCCCCGAAAUAGCUUUAGGGCUAGCCUUAAUGGAGUGUUACGGAGGUAGAGCACUGAAUGGACUAGGGGGCUUCACCGCCUACCAAACCCAAUCAAACUCCGAAUGCCGUAACAUGCUCAUUAGGAGAUAGACUGCGAGGGAUAAGCUCCGUAGUCAAAAGGGAAACAACCCAGACCGACAGCUAAGGUCCCUAAAUGUACGUUAAGUGAUAAAGGAUGUGGAAUUACUCAGACAGCUAGGAGGUUGGCUUAGAAGCAGCCAUUCCUUUAAAGAGUGCGUAAUAGCUCACUAGUCAAGUGAUUCUGCGCCUAUAAUUUCCGGGACUGUCAAACGUACUACCGAAGCUUCGGAAUCCGGUGAUGAACCGGAUUGGUAGGGGAGCGUUCCAUUAACCGCUGAAGGUAGACCCGUGAGGGCUGCUGGAGGAGAUGGAAAUGAGGAUGCAGGCACGAGUAACGAUAAUCCCGGUGAAAUUCCGGGACACCGAAAGCCUAAGGUUUCCUGAGUAAAGUAAAUCUGCUCAGGGUUAGUCGGCCCCUAAGGCGAGGCCGAAGGGCGUAGUCGAUGGGAAACAGGUUAAUAUUCCUGUACCAGUGGCAAACCGUUUGAACUAUGGGGUGGCGCAGAAGUGAAAGAUCAGCCGUCUGACGAAAUAGAUGGUCUAAGCGUGUAGGGAGUCCUUCCAGGCAAAUCCGGAAGGAUAAUUCUGAGACGUGAUGGGGAGUCCUUUGGACACAAACUGAUCCUAAUCAUACUGACAAGAAAAACCUCUAUGUGAGGGUUGUCACUGACCGUACCGUAAACCGACACAGGUAGGCGGGAUGAAUAUUCUAAGGUGCUUGGAUGAACUCAGGUCAAGGAACUCGGCAAACUGACCUCGUAACUUCGGGAUAAGAGGUACCUCGAGUAUGUGAUGUAAUUCGCUUACGGAGCAGAAAGAGGUCGCAGUGAAAUGGCCCAAGCGACUGUUUAACAAAAACACAGGUCUCUGCUAAAUCGUAAGAUGAUGUAUAGGGACUGACACCUGCCCGGUGCUGGAAGGUUAAGGGGAUGUGUCAUUCUUCCGCUUCGGCGGGAGGAGAAGCACUGAGCUGAAGCCCCAGUAAACGGCGGCCGUAACUAUAACGGUCCUAAGGUAGCGAAAUUCCUUGUCGGGUAAGUUCCGACCUGCACGAAUGGUGCAACGAUUUGGGCGCUGUCUCGACCUGAGAUCCAGUGAAACUGUAGCGUCGGUGAAGAUGCCGGCUACCCGCGGCAGGACGGAAAGACCCCGUGAACCUUUACUACAGCCUGAUAUUGGGUUUUGAUUCCGCAUGUAGAGUAUAGGUGGGAGACUGUGAAGCGUGGACGCCAGUCUGCGUGGAGUCGCCAUUGGAAUACCACCCUUGCGUUGUCGGAAUUCUAACGCGAUUCCGUGAAUCCGGAAUGCGAACAGUGUCAGGUGGGUAGUUUGACUGGGGCGGUCGCCUCCUAAAAUGUAACGGAGGCGCUCAAAGGUUCCCUCAGUACGGUUGGUAAUCGUACGCUGAGUGUAAAGGCAAAAGGGAGCUUGACUGCGAGAGAGACAUUUCGAGCAGGUGGGAAACCAGGACUUAGUGAUCCGGCGGUCGUCACAUCCUGGGGCUGGAGAAGGUCCCAAGGGUUGGGCUGUUCGCCCAUUAAAGUGGCACGCGAGCUGGGUUCAGAACGUCGUGAGACAGUUCGGUCCCUAUCCGCCGUGGGCGUAGGAAAUUUGAGAGGAGCUGCUUCUAGUACGAGAGGACCGAAGUGGACGAACCUCUAGUGUAUCAGUUAUCACGUCAGUGGUACCGCUGAGUAGCUACGUUCGGAUGAGAUAAGCACUGAAAGCAUAUAAGUGCGAAACUCACCUCAAGACAAGAUUUCCCUGAAGAGUCCUUGU
rnacentral:rRNA from 1 species